AUUUUAUUUCCUCUCUGUAAUAUUUCUGUUCCGGGACCCUGAAAGGGAAGAUAUUGAAAAUAUUAGUUCUCAGCAAGAUGCCGCAUCUUGAGAAACACAGAAUGGGCCAGUCCAGUGUCUGCUGAUUUUUCAGCCCUGUCCCUCCCCUAGGUCCCUGGGCAGGGACUGCACUCAGUUUGACACACAGAGGGACAGACUUGGGGCCGGUGUCUGCAGGCUGGCUCACCGCAUGGCCACCCACAGCUCUGAUGCUUGUGGAGGCUGCUGCCCGCAGCAGCACCUUAGAACCGGCAGCCUUGGUGGUAGUCGUGGCUACUACAGCUUUCCACUUGAACUUGAUGAACUGGAGCUGGCCUUGGCCACCCUGGGAACAGGCCUCCCUGUCUUAUUCACACCCCCUGGCCAGUAUAGGGCACAAGCAGUCCAUCUGGUUCCCAUGGGGACUCUCUCCCAUGCUGGCUGCACCAGCUCCCCUGGGCGGUGACAGCCCAGGCACUUCCACACCCUCCAGUGGAGAAGAAAACCCGCCUGAGCCAGGAGCAAGGAGAGGCUUUUGGUUUUAGUCUCAGACUUGCUUUGAAGGAAUCUCUGGUAAGGACAGACCUGACUGUCCCCAUGGUGGGUGUUUUUUUUUUUUUUAACUGUUUAAGUGUCCCCUGGCCUAUGAUCACCAGGAAUGUGGGCAGCCACUCAUACUUCAUGGCUGGCAGGAUGGGGAAAUGGGCAAGGGUGGGAGCAAAGCAGAGCUCUGAGUGGGGGAGCAACUGCCCAGGGCUGUGCUGCACACAGAGGUGAAACAGACUGCAGUCAGUGUGGCAUCAGGAAACCAGAGCCCACUGGGGGCUGUGAGCCCACUACAGAGGCUGCCCAUCACGUGAAGGUCUCUGGGAGCUGUGAAAAUAUUCAAGGCAGAAGUGAUGGCACUAUUGUCCUUGUAGGCAUGAGCUUCAACUGCCAGGGGUACAUACACCCCAGAGCGGACAAUGUCUCUGCACAAGAGGUACAAGGGCCUCUCACCCAAUGUCCAGCUCCCUCCUCCUAUCUGCAGAGCCCCCCCGCUAUGGAGGGUACCUGGAUACCAAUUUCUCAGCCUCUUUCCUAGGAGACAUUGUCAAUCAAACAGGAGAACCACCUGGAGCCCCAGGACCAUCUCGGCACCCCAAGAGAAAGAACCUGGGACUCCUCUCAGAGACGUCAACCUGACUUCCUGGAACAUCUGACCAAGCUUCACAAUUGUGCGCUCUGUCAGCAGGGUGAAUACACCACACCAAUCCAGAGACACACCUGUGGUGGCCCAGGUAGCGAGCUCACCUCCACAGCCGCCGUGGCUCCAGAGAAACCUUGGAAAAAGCAGUCGUGUCUCUGUCUUGGUUUCCUGAACCACAGCAUGGGGUGAGAGCUUUUCCUGCUGCCUGUUAGGGUUAGGAUUGGAUGAGAGAGUGGACUGUGGGUCAGCAUAAACUUCUGUGGACAGAUCGGGAAAUGGGGCCAGGACAGUGAAGGAGACCACAGCCCGGUGGCUCACAGGCGGGGGCUCUCCCUCCAUGACACACCUGUGUCCCCCUGAAGGCUCCUUUCCCUGCUGUGCCAGGACGACCCAACAGCCAGACGCACGCCCUCGUGGCAAUCCCUGUCCUCCUGUGGCCCUCCUGGGCUGACCGUCUCCCUACAGAACAAGAUCAUGUUGCCACGCAGGCCAGGAGGGCAACCAGAGGUCAGCAGCCCCAACCCCCAGGUUGCUACUGUCUCCUGCGCGGGGCACCCAAGCCAAGCUGGGAAGGCAGCGGCCCUCCUGUUCUGAGAGCCAGCAUCGACAGGGACCAGCAGCUGGCUCGGCAGCUCCAGCCACAGACCAACUGGGGAAGCGGCAAGUCAGAAAGCAGGGACAAGAGCAGUCUCCAGGCUGUUUAGAGGCCAUGAGUCCACAAAGCACAGCUGCGGUCAGAUGAUGUGGCACCUGAGAGGACACACAUGGCUGACAAAGGCAGACCCAGCAGCUAAGGUCUUGCUCCCACACUGGGUUCAUCCAAUCCUCAAGGCUGCUCCAGAGGCCCCUUCUGCAUGAAGCUUCACCACCCACCAGGCCACCUUCAUGCAAUUCAUGGAGCUACACUGAGCGUAGUGCCCUCGCCACGUUUCCUAGUGGCUGGCUGCCCAGGUAGCCUCCCGGUGAUGAUGAGCUGGCACGACAUCUCACUCACGGCACCCUGUGCCUGGCACAGUUUGCCCAUCGUCUGAGGCUGCAGGGGAGUCCUGACCUGGCCUCUGCAUUCCAGGGAGGCCGAGGGUGCCCAGGGGUCACCAUGUCCACUGGACUCAGCAGUGGGUGGGAGGAUGGGAGCACCAGGAGGGUUUUCACAGCUGCCACACAGCAGGAGCCGCGCAGGGCCCAUGGGACAGGGUGCCUCUUCGAUGGCCGCAGCAACAAAGCUGAAACUGCAGAGCAGCGUCCACACUGGGAACAGAGGAUCAUGGGGAUAGGCCAGGCCCCCCUACGCGCUCAGCAGCCUUGCAGGUGUCCAAGGAGUGGAGGGACAGACCUCUACAAUUCUUGAGAACUCCCUCAGGGAUGCCAGUGCCCACCCUCCACACUCUGCAGUCUGGCUUCGGGUUCUCGCCUUUCCAACUGAUUGCCAGGACACCCCAUCCUCAAGUCUGGUAAGUUGGCCCCGUGCACACCCCGCCUCUGAGCAGCAGCUCAAGCCACACUGGAAGGGCCUGGCCUCUGGGGUGGGCUCUGCCUAUCCUUGAAGUUUCACUGGCCACCUUCACAAGGAUGUCCUCCAGCCAUUCCACCCACGGGCAGCUCUUCCUUACAGCUCUGAGGUCAGCACAGACCCAGGAGGGGCACGGUGAGAACAGAGGCCCUGUGGGGCCCUCCUCCUCACUGCCACCUUCAGUGUUCUGUCAGGGCCUAGGAGAGAGAUCCCAGCGUCAACUGCGCAGGCCACCUCCAUGCUGCUCCAAGCCAGAGCUCUGAGGGUGUCAGGGUGGCUGCCCAGUGCAGCAUGGGCCUCUCCCCGCUCUGGGUGCAACAGCAGGUGGGACUUAACCUUCCAAAGAGACUCACAAGUUCCCACCUGCUUCUGACAAUGAAGAGAGAUGGGGUCCUGCCACAUGCAGUCAGCCUCCACCUCCACCCAUAGUUCCCUGCUGUCCCUCAGUGCUCAGCCCCCACCUCCACCCAUAGUUCC